rnacentral:rRNA from 1 species
ACUCAAAUGAAUAGACGGGGGCCCGCACAAGCAGCGGAGCGUGUGGUUUAAUUCGAUGAUACACGAAGAACCUUACCAGGGUUUGACAUGCACGUAGUAGGGAAGCGAAAGCGGACCGACCCUUCGGGGAGCGUGCACAGGUGCUGCAUGGCUGUCGUCAGCUCGUGCCGUGAGGUGUUAGGUUAAGUCCUAUAACGAGCGCAGCCCCUACUGCCAGUUACACGAGUCUGGCGGGACUGCCGGUCAUAAGCCGGAGGAAGGUGGGGACGACGUCAAGUCAGCAUGGCCUUUAUAUCCUGGGCUACACACACGCUACAAUGGCAGGUACAGUGGGUUGCCAACGAGCGAUCGGGAGCUAAUCCCCCAAAACCUGCCUCAGUUCGGAUUGUAGGCUGCAACCCGCCUGCAUGAAGUUGGAGUUGCUAGUAAACGCGCGUCAGCCAUAGUGCGUUGAAUACGUUCCCGGGCCUUGCACACACCGCCCGU